CACAUGUUGGACAGGCAAAACAAAACUCCAUCAGACACAAGUCUAUAUUUAGUCAAUCUAAAGUGCCCCUUAGAUGCUGGAUGCAGUUUAUUUACAGAUUUUCUCAGGGUCUGCGAUUACGACAAAUUGACAUGAUAGAUGAUACCAUUGCAGCCAGUUCAACCACUCUUAGUAAAAUGGCUCAAAAAAUAAGGGGUGUUUGUGUGGCUGCAGUUCGAAGGAUGAGACGGCGUACAGGCCAACAGAUUGGUGGAGUGAGGGAAUUUGUCGUAAUCGAUGAGAGCCAUUUUCGUCACAAAAGAAAGUAUGGAAGAGGAAGAAUGGCCGGUGGGUGGAAAAGAAGAAAGUGGGUCUUUGGAAUGCUGGGUAAAACAUCAGGGAAGGACAAGGCCUAUUUUACGCCUUGUAGAAAAAAGAUCACGAAGACAUCUUGUUCCUGUGAUUGAGCUUCAUGUCAGAAUUGGUUCAUCAGUGAUUAGUGAUGAAUGGCGUGCCUAUCAUAUUCUCUCAGCUCUGGGGUAUGACCAUCAUACUGUCAACCACAGUAGGUGGUAUGUAGAGCCUCAAACCGGUGCUCAUACCCAGCAUCUAGAGAGGGCUUGGAGGUCCUACAAAGAGCGGAUCUGGAGACUAAGAGGAAACCGCAAUGACAGUUUACUUUCUGAACACCUGACAGUGAUUGAGUGGAAUGAAUGGCUUGCAAAAAAACAUCGAAAAGGUGCGCUGGGUAGACUGAUUCAUGACAUUUCAAGAAAAUACAGGUAGUCAUACAAAACCAGGACAAAUGGACUGUCUACUCGUAUGUUUAAUGUUUUACUUGAUUUGUUUGAAUGAUACACUUUUAUUUAGAUAAAACUCUUGAUAGGAAUUGUGUAUUUGCAGCAUUUGUACACAAAAAAAUACAGGUAUCCAGCCAUGUUCUGUAUUUUAUUGACUGGGUCAGUGUAUUGUUUUUUGCAUCUUAAAUAAUUACAGUUCAUUGUGUACUU